UCCUACGGGAGGCAGCAGUGGGGAAUAUUGCACAAUGGGCGAAAGCCUGAUGCAGCGACGCCGCGUGAGCGAUGAAGGCCUUCGGGUCGUAAAGCUCUGUCAUAUGGGAAGAAUAUUGACGGUACCAUAGGAGGAAGCCCCGGCUAACUACGUGCCAGCAGCCGCGGUAAUACGUAGGGGGCAAGCGUUGUCCGGAAUUACUGGGCGUAAAGGGUCAGUAGGCGGCCUAAUAAGUUAGGGGUUAAAGCCCUCGGCUCAACCGAGGUAAGCCUUUAAAACUGUUAGGCUUGAGUGCAGGAGAGGAGAGUGGAAUUCCUAGUGUAGCGGUGAAAUGCGUAGAUAUUAGGAGGAACACCAGUGGCGAAGGCGACUCUCUGGACUGCAACUGACGCUGAGGCACGAAAGCGGGGGGAGCGAACAGGAUUAGAUACCCUGGUAGUCCACGCCGUAAACGAUGAGUGCUAGGUGUUGGGGUCGACAGGCUUCGGUGCCGCAGUUAACACAUUAAGUACUCCGCCUGGGGAGUACGGUCGCAAGACUGAAACUCGAAAGAAUUGACGG
rnacentral:rRNA from 1 species